rnacentral:rRNA from 1 species
UAGGGAAUCUUCGGCAAUGGACGGAAGUCUGACCGAGCAACGCCGCGUGAGUGAAGAAGGUUUUCGGAUCGUAAAGCUCUGUUGUAAGAGAAGAACGAGUGUGAGAGUGGAAAGUUCACACUGUGACGGUAUCUUACCAGAAAGGGACGGCUAACUACGUGCCAGCAGCCGCGGUAAUACGUAGGUCCCGAGCGUUGUCCGGAUUUAUUGGGCGUAAAGCGAGCGCAGGCGGUUAGAUAAGUCUGAAGUUAAAGGCUGUGGCUUAACCAUAGUAGGCUUUGGAANNUGUUUAACUUGAGUGCAAGAGGGGAGAGUGGAAUUCCAUGUGUAGCGGUGAAAUGCGUAGAUAUAUGGAGGAACACCGGUGGCGAAAGCGGCUCUCUGGCUUGUAACUGACGCUGAGGCUCGAAAGCGUGGGGAGCAAACAGGAUUAGAUACCCUGGUAGUCCACGCCGUAACGAUGAGUGCUAGGUGUUAGACCCUUUCCGGGGUUUAGUGCCGUAGCUAACGCAUUAAGCACUCCGCCUGGGGAGUACGACCGCAAGGUU